CGAUCUGGGAACGAGCCCCGCUUCAAUCUCAACCGUCGGAGCAUGAAAGAGAACCCACCCACGGCGGUAAACCCUAGCCGCCCGCACUGCCUAGCUGGUGACCCGCCCCAUCUGGCUCCUCCUCUCCGCCGCCCAUCCACCUCCUCCUCUCUGCCUCGUCCUCGCUGCGUCACCGCGUCGUGCCCCCAUGAACCGGACCGAGUGGAUGUAGCGCCUCCCUUCCUCGCCGGCGCUCAGUCCGCAGACGUGACGCGGAGAUGAGAGGAUGAACUUCAGCGAGCAAGGGAGAAGAGGAGGUCGAACCACCCCAAUCCUCUUUUCCGCCCAGCGGAGGUCGCAAAGCUCCCUCUUCUCGUUGGCGACUACAACGACAGCGGCUGCUGCGUCACCGCGGGAGAAGAGGGCUGCGACGGUCGCCUGAUGGGCGAGAUUCCUCCUCCACCAGCGAGUCGACGACGAAGCAGAGUGAUGCGAUUGGAGUUUUUGUUUUGCUGCCCGGUUAGUCUAAAAAUUGGUACCCAAACCUACUUUUGGUGGUCUCCUCGCGGGGGUUGGCUCUAGAAGCACACGUCUUGAAGAUGACCCUUGGGGAGAUUGAGAGCUCCAGUUCAGCGCUGUCAUCGUCCAGCUGUUAAUCCAACAGGCAGAUUUUGGGAAGCAAGGUAAUAUAUACCUGGGAUUGUCAGCUCUCUCUGCUGCGUUUUGAUGAUGGACUUUAAACUGAUGAUGGUGUUGGCGUAGAUCGUCUUGGCAUUCACGGGAAGAAAGUUUGGAUGCACGAGAGCCAAGAGAUCUCGGCCAUGCCUCGUGGUAUAGGAUGGUGGUGUUGCUGGUGAAUGGUCACACGACGGAUGAUGCCAAGCUGGUGCACUAGGACAAGGUCGGCCUUCCCGAUGGCAUGACCGCAUGACUAUCAAGGCCAUGGACAUCUGGAUGGUACGUCUACCUUUCCUGACAUUCUAGGAUUGCCCGACAUGGAUGAUUGAUCUUGACUGUUUUAUUAUGUUGUCGUCGUUUUUGUUUGUUGCACCACAAGGCACUGGACACCAAUUUCACGGAUAAUAUAUUUUUCAUUGUCAAGGAAAAAACGAAUUAUCUCUUAUUUGAGACACACUUUUAUGGGAGACUUUUGUUGAGCAUUUCGUGUCUACACUUGGCACACACACUGCACUCAAUUCUAUUGGCUUCUUGAAGGGCAACCUUUUGGUGAGUCAAUUUUUGCUUGAGAUUCUAGAAUCCAUGUCAAAUCUCAGGUAACAAAUUCGAAUCUUUAAUGUAGGUUUUGGUAGGAUAUCUUUUCUUCGGUUUGGUUAUCAAUUUUAUUCCAGAGCCAACCUUUGUGCCAGCCACUGAUACAAGCAAGAAUGAAGUUGGAAUGAACAAUCUUCGGGGAUAAGUACAACAUCAUAAUUGUCUGUUUUCUUAUUAAAAUAUGAUGAUUGGGUAGAAUUUAGUUUGUUUAUGUGGAAAGCAGACUCAUGAUAAUGAUUUCGGGUAAAUAUAUGAACAUGUGAUGAAAAAGCAUCACCGGAAAGUGUUAUUCAGGGAUAUCAUCAUACAUUUUGGUAAGAAACUAAGAAUGUGUUUAAAUCAAUAAGCUCGCCUGUUUAUUAGGCCUGCACUUGUCAAACUUUAUUUUAGGUGACAUUAUUAUUUGAACCAUUUCAUGCCACAUGAUAUUCCAUAAUAAAAUUCUGUGAAGUUUUGCUUCCUUGAAGCUAUAAUCAUUUGACUAAAUACUUACUCUGAGCUGCAGGAAUCAGUUUGCACAAUUUUUGUGAGGCAAUUGCAGUAUUUCAUGGAUCUGUGAAGCUAAUACCUUUGUGUAUUUAUGUUAAUAUAAUAUUAUAAUUAAUCUUCUAAAGAUGGUUUAGGACUUAGGACUGCACCUUGCAUUUGUUCUAAUAGAGAAGUUACCGGGGACUACCUUGGAUGUUUCGAUUUUCGAAGAGCUAAUUUACCAUAUCGGACUUCAAAUCUUGCAAGGCGUUCGCGUGGGAGUUAACUUGGCUUUUGCUAUUGCCUUAUAUAGCAUACCCGAGGUGCAUAAAUCAACCCACCAACCUUUCUGGUUAGGUAACCUGAAUAUUCAUAUCCAUAUCUGAAGGCGCGUCUUGCAUCCUUGCCACUUUGAAUAUCCCUUGCAUUGUUUUUACUAAUAAGAUUCAGCUGCCCUUAUUAUUUGAUGGUAUAUCCACCAACGAAAAAGGGCCACAGUUACCUGAGCAGGCUUAUAUGCCAUUAACCUUUGAGAUUUUCUAUACUCGCGUCGUCUUCUUCAUGCAGGCUCUCCAUUGUCCGUAGGUUAUUUGUACAGGACAAGCCCAUCUUAGCAUGAAAGAGAGGGGGAUAUGGAUAGAAGGAGGGGAGGCAUGAGCAUGAGGAGAGGAGGUCACACCACUCUGCAGCUAUAUGCAAAGCCUGAUGUUUCAGUUCCCUGUGUGAUAAUUUCAGUACCAUCUUUAUUGUGUAUACCAGUAUUGAUUUCUUUAUUAUUAUCUUUGCCAUUUACUGAAAUUUCAAACUACAUACUGGAAUAAAUUGUGCAAGCAUUAAAUGAAGAACCAUUUUUUUCCUGUAGUGUUUGCAUAGAGGUUCGUUGUUUGCCCAAGGUAAUUGAGCUUUCUUCAACGCUGGAUAUCAGUUUCAGUUAUAAAGACAUGUUCCUGCUCUGAGCAAUGGCAAAGGUUUUUAUGUUGCACUAGAUUUUAAUGCAUCUGUUAUGUAAUCUCUUAAGAUAAAGGAAUCUUCCUUCAGCUGAUGUUUGCUCUUCUCAGUGGCCUACAUGUGGCUGAAUUUACUCUACGUACUAUUUGUGAGUUGCUGGUAGCUCUAUUAUAUUGCAGCUUUUACGUCUUAUUUGUUAGUCAAUCCAUCUAUUACAAAAUUUCUUACACCCCUUUUCCCAACAAGUAUGCAUGCCCACCUCUGCUAUAACUGUCGCAAUAUGUUAUUCUUGUCACUUACAUUUUGUCCUUAUGUUAAAUAGUUGUAGUGUACAUAGGGUGUCUGAUACCUUAUUUCAAUAUUGAAAUCCACUUUUUGUCAGGUGCUUUUUCUUUGCCUCCUUGGGAGCAGGACGUUUCCUUUCUCCUGCUUGCUUUCUCCACCACCAUGACUGGAUGGUUCCUCGUGAGCACCUACUGCUGCAAGGGGGAGUUGUAACUGAUUAAUGCUUGUGUGUGUUCCUUGUACAUCUUUCUAUGAUAGUGUUCUUUCUUAUUGUUUUGCUUAAACUGGGUAGCAAACUCAGACUCUUUGCAAUGCCAAUUUAAGUUUUGCAGUAUGUAUUGCACUGA